ACUCAACAAAAUAAAAUAUGCAGAAAUCUCUCAAUUUGAUUUUAAACUUUGCAUUUAUAACUCAUUAUAUAUUCAAUCCCCUUUUACCCUUCAGCCUUCACUAUUUACUCAGCCGCAUCUGCAUCUACCUUUCCUAAAUCCUACCAACAACAAUUUGAUUUAAGAAUCAAUCACCACCAGUCACCACCAUCAAUACUAGAUGAAUCACAUUCUCUGUCAAAUUUUCUUUCUCCAUCUUCACCAUCCUCUUUAAACCACCGCCUUCAUCCGACCGAUUUAAUGACCGGAUUCAGUUCUUAAAGGACGAACAGAGGAAGAGUGGCGGAAUUGUGUUAGAGUUUUCAGUUUUUAAAGAACGGCAGCCCGCUUAUGCUCCGACGACCUCCAUUAGGAAGGUAAGCAUGAAAACUGAGAACUUGGUUGCCCAACUAAGUAAUCCAUGACUGUUUCGAAGACAAAAACUUAUAUGAGAAAAGUGGACUGAUGAAUUUUAUAUUUGUUUUGUUAAAUUACAGAAAUGUUAGGAUGUUAAGAAGAACCAUUCAUAGGAUGUUAAUUUUGUGUUUUGUUUUGUUAAAUUUAAAUAUGUAAUUGCUAGUAUUCAUGUAAUCAAAUGUCAACCAAAUAUCAACCAAUUGACUUUUUA